UUAGAGUAGAUAGGUUGAUAAAAUUUUAUAUGAAAUACAUUUAUAAAGUUUAAAAGUAUUGGCGGUGUUAAAUUAAAUUCUGAGAAACUUGUCUAUUUAAAAUGAUAAUACACAAUAUAUCUUAUCAUAUUUUUAGGUUUAUGUAUUGCUGUAAAAUUAAUGAUUUAAAUUAGUUAAAAAUUAGUGAAAUAAUUUUAUUAAUAAGUUAGUAAUACAAGUCAAGAUGUAGUUUUAGUAUGGUUUAGAUGAGUUGCUUUUUAUUAGAAAAAUAGAGGUACAAUAAUUAAUGAAAUUUUAUUAAAGGAAUUGGAUUAGGGUGUAAGAAAGAAAUAAUUAGUUUUUCUGAUAAAUUUAUUAGCGUGUACAUAUCGCCCGUCGC
rnacentral:rRNA from 1 species